GCCUGGAUAGCUCAGCCGGUAGAGCAUUAGACUUUUAAUCUGAGGGUCCAGGGUUCAAGUCCCUGUUCAGGCG
rnacentral:tRNA from 1 species